UGUGAUAGCGCUUAGUGGUACAGUACAUGCGUAGUAUGCAUGAGGUCCUGGGUUAGAUCCCUAGCACCCCAA
rnacentral:tRNA from 1 species